rnacentral:rRNA from 1 species
AGAGUUUGAUCCUGGCUCAGAGUGAACGCUGGCGGCGUGCUUAACACAUGCAAGUCGAACGGUAACAGAGAGAGCUUGCUCUUUGCUGACGAGUGGCGCACGGGUGAGUAAUAUAUAGUUAAUGUACCCCAAAGACCGGGAUAGCCACUGGAAACGGUGAUUAAUACUGGAUAUACCUUUCUUUCAUAAGCAAGAAAGGGAAAUGUCUUUUCGCUUUGGGAUCAGACUAUAUCCCAUCAGUUAGUUGGUAGGGUAAUGGCCUACCAAGGCAAUGACGGGUAGCGGGUUUGAGAGGAUGAUCCGCCACACUGGUACUGAGACACGGACCAGACUCCUACGGGAGGCAGCAGUGAGGAAUAUUGCACAAUGGGGGGAACCCUGAUGCAGCAACGCCGCGUGGAGGAUGACGCAUUUCGGUGUGUAAACUCCUUUUAUGAGCCAAGAAAAUGACGGUAACUCA